rnacentral:rRNA from 1 species
GACGAACGCUGGCGGCGUGCUUAACACAUGCAAGUCGAACGGAAAGGCCCUGCUUUUGUGGGGUGCUCGAGUGGCGAACGGGUGAGUAACACGUGAGUAACCUGCCCUUGACUUUGGGAUAACUUCAGGAAACUGGGGCUAAUACCGGAUAGGAGCUCCUGCUGCAUGGUGGGGGUUGGAAAGUUUCGGCGGUUGGGGAUGGACUCGCGGCUUAUCAGCUUGUUGGUGGGGUAGUGGCUUACCAAGGCUUUGACGGGUAGCCGGCCUGAGAGGGUGACCGGCCACAUUGGGACUGAGAUACGGCCCAGACUCCUACGGGAGGCAGCAGUGGGGAAUAUUGCACAAUGGGCGGAAGCCGGAUGCAGCAACGCCGCGUGCGGGAUGACGGCCUUCGGGUUGUAAACCGCUUUCGCCUGCGACGAAGCGUGAGUGACGGUAAUGGGUAAAGAAGCACCGGCUAACUACGUG